CGCCCGGCUGGAGGAGUCGCUGCUCGCCGCCCGCCAGCGCUGGGUGGAUCGGGAGAUGGCUCUCGGCCACCCCGUUCUCGCCGAGCUGAGCGC
rnacentral:tRNA from 1 species